GGGAGUAUAGCUCAGUGGUAGAGCGAGUGCUUAACAUGCACAAGGUCCUGGGUUCAAUCCCCAGUGCCUCCA
rnacentral:tRNA from 1 species